rnacentral:rRNA from 1 species
CCUACGGGGGGCAGCAGUGGGGAAUAUUGGACAAUGGGCGAAAGCCUGAUCCAGCCAUGCCGCGUGUGUGAAGAAGGCCUUCGGGUUGUAAAGCACUUUCAGUGGGGAAGAAAGCCUUGGGGCUAAUACCCUCGAGGAAGGACAUCACCCACAGAAGAAGCACCGGCUAACUCCGUGCCAGCAGCCGCGGUAAUACGGAGGGUGCGAGCGUUAAUCGGAAUUACUGGGCGUAAAGCGCGCGUAGGCGGUCUGAUAAGCCGGUUGUGAAAGCCCCGGGCUCAACCUGGGAACGGCAUCCGGAACUGUCAGGCUAGAGUGCAUGAGAGGAAGGUAGAAUUCCCGGUGUAGCGGUGAAAUGCGUAGAGAUCGGGAGGAAUACCAGUGGCGAAGGCGGCCUUCUGGACUGACACUGACGCUGAGGUGCGAAAGCGUGGGUAGCAAACAGGAUUAGAUACCCGGGUAGUC